rnacentral:lncRNA from 1 species
AUAAGAAAACAAUGAGAGUUCUCAAGAUAACUCUUCAAAGGGUAAAGAUAACUUAUGUUAUCAAUGUGAUAUGAAAGAUUAUUGGUUACAUGUGGCAUAUGCUCAAAUAUUUUGUUUCUGUUAAUAUUCUUUGAGGAAUGAUAUGAAAAUGUAGUAAUAAAUUGUAUCAUUAUAGAUAGAAAGUAUUUAUCUUAUUUGGUACUAAAAUAAACAAAUAUUAUUUCAAUAUUUGAUAGUACAAAAUUAGUCGAAAGCUCUAGAAAAGUUAAUAAAUUAAU